rnacentral:rRNA from 1 species
GAUGAACGCUAGCGGCAGGCUUAACACAUGCAAGUCGAGGGUAACGGGGAAGCUUGCUUCCGCCGACGACCGGCGCACGGGUGCGUAACGCGUAUACAAUCUACCUUAUACUGGGGUAUAGCCUUUAGAAAUGAAGAUUAAUCCCCCAUAGUCUCUUAAAGUGGCAUCACUUAAGGAGUAAAGGUUACGGUAUAAGAUGAGUAUGCGUUCUAUUAGUUUGUUGGUGUGGUAACGGCACACCAAGACUACGAUAGAUAGGGGCCCUGAGAGGGGGAUCCCCCACACUGGUACUGAGACACGGACCAG